rnacentral:rRNA from 1 species
UACGGAGGGUCCAAGCGUUAUCCGGAAUCACUGGGUUUAAAGGGUGCGUAGGUGGUUAAUUAAGUCAGUGGUGAAAUCCCGUAGCUCAACUAUGGAACUGCCAUUGAAACUGAUUAACUUGAAUUUUUUCGAUGUUGGCGGAAUAAGUCAUGUAGCGGUGAAAUGCGUAGAUAUGACUUAGAACACCGAUUGCGAAGGCAGCUAACAAGGAAAGAUUGACACUGAGGCACGAAAGCGUGGGUAGCGAACAGGAUUAGAUACCCUGGUAGUCCACGCCGUAAACGAUGAUUACUCGUUAUUUGGAUUUAUUCAAGUGACCAAGCGAAAGCGUUAAGUAAUCCACCUGGGAAGUACGGUCGCAAGGCUGAAACUCAAAGGAAUUGGCGGGGGUCCGCACAAGCGGUGGAGUAUGUGGUUUAAUUCGAUGAUAAGCGAGGAACCUUACCUGGAUUCAAUCUAAGUUGACAGAUCUAGAGAUAGAUUUUUCUUCGGACAGCUUAGAAGGUGCUGCAUGGUUGUCGUCAGCUCGUGCCGUGAGGUGUUGGGUUAAGUCCUGCAACGAGCGCAACCCUUACCUUUAGUUGCCAGCACGUCAUGGUGGGAACUCUAGAGGAACUGCCUUCGUAAGGAGGAGGAAGGUGGGGAUGACGUCAAAUCAUCAUGGCCCUUACGUCCAGGGCUACACACGUACUACAAUGGUCGGUACAAAGGGUUGCGAGCUAGUGAUAGUCAGCCAAUCCCUAAAAGCCGAUCUCAGUUCGGAUUGGAGUCUGCAACUCGACUCCAUGAAGCUGGAAUCGCUAGUAAUCGCGCAUCAGCAAUGGCGCGGUGAAUACGUUCCCGGACCU